GAUGAACGCUGGCGGCGUGCCUAAUACAUGCAAGUCGAGCGAACGGACGAGAAGCUUGCUUCUCUGAUGUUAGCGGCGGACGGGUGAGUAACACGUGGAUAACCUACCUAUAAGACUGGGAUAACUUCGGGAAACCGGAGCUAAUACCGGAUGAUAUUUUGAACCGCAUGGUUCAAAAGUGAAAGACGGUCUUGCUGUCACUUAUAGAUGGAUCCGCGCUGCAUUAGCUAGUUGGUAAGGUAACGGCUUACCAAGGCAACGAUGCAUAGCCGACCUGAGAGGGUGAUCGGCCACACUGGAGCUGAGACACGGUCCAGACUCCUACGGGAGGCAGCGGUAGGGAAUCUUCCGCAAUGGGCGAAAGCCUGACGGAGCAACGCCGCGUGGGUGAUGAAGGUCUUCGGAUCGUAAAACUCUGUUAUUAGGGAAGAACAUAUGUGUAAGUAACUGUGCACAUCUUGACGGUACCUAAUCAGAAAGCCACGGCUAACUACGUG
rnacentral:rRNA from 1 species